AGCUUUCUGAUUCGUUCAUUAUUUUGGUAUUGCAAUGCUUGCAUUAAUGAGGCAGAUGGGAAAAAGAAAUAUGUUAGCUUCAUGAUUUUGCUAGAACCUAAUUGUUAGUCAUUUAUCUGUUGAAUUCAAGUGCAAGUAAUUUAGUGAACAUGAAUGAUAUUGUCUGAAAGAUGUUAAAAUUGCAUAAAGUGAUCAGUACAUCAUGAGGACUGUCUCAUUUCAAUUUCUUGCAUCUUUCAUAAUCUUAAUGCUUCUAAAAAAAGAUGAUCUUGGGGAUUCUCUUUCAAAAUCGAUAUGGUUAGUGAUUCUGACAAUUGGAAUGCAGUGCUUAAUAAGUGUAUUUCCUGAGUGGGAUGGACGCUGUAACUUUUCUGAUUUUCUCUGUUAUCUAAUUUCUUCAGUUAACAUGAAUGUCUUUAUUUUUUUUAAAUACUUAUUAGCAUUUUGUUUCUGAUGUGGAAUUCGUUCAAAUAGAGUUUAAUGACAAAA
rnacentral:misc_RNA from 1 species